rnacentral:rRNA from 1 species
CCUACGGGAGGCAGCAGUGAGGAAUAUUGGUCAAUGGACGCAAGUCUGAACCAGCCAUGCCGCGUGCAUGAUGAAGGCCCUAUGAGUUGUAAACUGCUUUUGUGCGGGGGUAAACCCCUAGACGUAUAUCGUUGUGAAAGUAUCGUACGAAUAAGGGUCGGCUAACUCCGUGCCAGACGACGCGGUAAUGCGGAGGAUACGAGGGUUAGCCGGAUUUAUUUGGUUUAAAGGGUCCGUAGGGGGUUUGAUAAGUUAGAGGGGAAAGGUCGGGGCUCAACCCGGAAACUGAAUUUAAUACUGUGGGACUAGAGUAUAGUUGAGGUAGGUGGAAUGGAUGGUGUAGCGGUGAAAUGCUUAGAGAUC